CUUUCCGUUUUCUUUAACGUUGUAGUGUUUUAGUUAAUGUUGUAGUGGUUUUGUUAAUGUUGUAGUGGUUUGCACCUCCACCGUAUCAAUCAGAGGUGCUUUUCUGACUGCAUCUGGUGCAGAGUGAGGAGGGUGUACUCAAUAGAGUAGCAUUAGAGGACACUGGACAGGAGCUUCUGAAAACAAUGGCGGACAACCAGCAUCAUGAAGACCAAGUAGCACGACAAACAGGGAACAUCUGCAAACCAGCCAAACAAGGCAUGGCGAUCAGCCUACAGUGAAAAGCUUGCCAAUGAGAAAUUGACCCAGAGGAGCAGCCAAGAGGAGUGUGGUAACUCCUGAGGAGCUGCAGAGAUCCACAGCUCAGAGAGUCAAACAGAUGGAGUGGCAGCCCUGCGGUUUCCACCAUGUUUGCCGCUGAGCUCAGUGGGCUGCCCUGGCCUUGCCGGGUCCCUCUGAUGGCUCGCUGGUCGUGGCGUCUUCUGUCUGCGCAGAGGUGGU